UACAGAGGUCUCAAGCGUUGUUCGGAUUCAUUGGGCGUAAAGGGCGCGUAGGCGGUCAGCACAAGUCAGUUGCGAAAUCUCCGGGCUUAACUCGGAAAGGUCAACUGAUACUGUGCGACUAGAGUGCAGAAGGGGCAACUGGAAUUCUCGGUGUAGCGGUGAAAUGCGUAGAUAUCGAGAGGAACACCUGCGGCGAAGGCGGGUUGCUGGGCUGACACUGACGCUGAUGCGCGAAAGCCAGGGGAGCGAACGGGG
rnacentral:rRNA from 1 species